rnacentral:rRNA from 1 species
UACGGAGGGGGCUAGCGUUGUUCGGAAUUACUGGGCGUAAAGGGCGCGUAGGCGGGCAUUCAAGUCGGGGGUGAAAUCCCGGGGCUCAACCCCGGAACUGCCUCCGAUACUGGAUGCCUGGAGGACGGAAGAGGCGAGUGGAAUGCCGAGUGUAGAGGUGAAAUUCGUAGAUAUUCGGCGGAACACCAGUGGCGAAGGCGGCUCGCUGGUCCGUUUCUGACGCUGAGGCGCGAAAGCGUGGGGAGCAAACAGG